rnacentral:rRNA from 1 species
CCUACGGGAGGCAGCAGUAGGGAAUCUUUCACAAUGGGCGAAAGCCUGAUGGAGCAACGCCGCGUGCAGGAUGAAGGCCUUCGGGUUGUAAACUGCUUUUAUAAGCGAGUAAUAUGAUGGUAACUUAUGAAUAAGGAUCGGCUAACUACGUGCCAGCAGCCGCGGUCAUACGUAGGAUCCGAGCAUUAUCCGGAGUGACUGGGUGUAAAGAGUUGCGUAGGUGGCAUAAUAAGUAGCUAGUGAAAUCUGGUGGCUCAACCAUUCAGACUAUUAGCUAAACUGUUAAGCUCGAGACCGUUAGGGGUAACUGGAAUUUCUAGUGUAGGAGUGAAAUCCGUAGAUAUUAGAAGGAACACCAAUAGCGUAGGCAGGUUGCUGGGACGGUUCUGACACUAAGGCACGAAAGCGUAGGGAGCAAACGGGAUUAGAUACCCCAGUAGUC